GACCGCCAUCGAUAAGGACGGAGGAAGGAGGGGGCCACGGCAGGUCAGUAUGCCCCGAAUCCCCUGGGCCACACGCGGCAUACAAUGGCAGGGACAAUGGGCUGCCACCCCGAAAGGGGGAGCUAAUCCCCAAACCCUGCCUCAGUUGGGAUCGAGGGUUGCAACCCACCCUCGUGAACCCGGAAUCCCUAGUAAUCGCGCGUCACCAACGCGCGGUGAAUACGUCCCUGCUCCUUGUACACA
rnacentral:rRNA from 1 species